UACGGAGGGAGCUAGCGUUGUUCGGAAUUACUGGGCGUAAAGCGCGCGUAGGCGGCUUUGUAAGUUAGAGGUGAAAGCCCGGGGCUCAACCCCGGAACUGCCUUUAAGACUGCAUCGCUUGAAUCCGGGAGAGGUGAGUGGAAUUCCGAGUGUAGAGGUGAAAUUCGUAGAUAUUGGGAAGAACACCGGUGGCGAAGGCGGCCAUCUGGACCGAUACUGACGCUGAGGCGCGAAAGCGUGGGGAGCAAACAGG
rnacentral:rRNA from 1 species